UACGUAGGGCGCAAGCGUUAUCCGGAAUUAUUGGGCGUAAAGAGCUCGUAGGCGGUUUGUCGCGUCUGCCGUGAAAGUCCGGGGCUCAACUCCGGAUCUGCGGUGGGUACGGGCAGACUAGAGUGAUGUAGGGGAGACUGGAAUUCCUGGUGUAGCGGUGAAAUGCGCAGGAUAUCAGGAGGAACACCGAUGGCGGAAGGCAGGUCUCUGGGCAUUAACUGACGCUGAGGAGCGAAAGCAUGGGGAGCGAACAGG
rnacentral:rRNA from 1 species